rnacentral:rRNA from 1 species
UUGACCUCGGAUCAGGUAGGGAUACCCGCUGAACUUAAGCAUAUCAAUAAGCGGAGGAAAAGAAACCAACAGGGAUUGCCCCAGUAACGGCGAGUGAAGCGGCAAGAGCUCAAAUUU